AUCAGACGUGCCAGGAGAAAAGGAAUAAAAUCAUCAGUCAGGCUGGGAUGUACAGGAAAAACCUGAAACAAGACUACCACAAAAGCCACGGCUUGGAUAAAUGUUCAUAUGGUGGAGACCAUAUGGAGAGGUGUCUGGCUCAUCUUUGGAGAAACAAAGGCACAAGAAGAAUGAAGGUACACUGACAAUAUCUCAGGGCAACAAAAACAAU
rnacentral:lncRNA from 1 species